UUCUCCGUGGCGCAAUUGGCUAGCGCGUUCGACUGUUACUUAUCCCAUUUAUGGGGUUUAUUGCAAUCGAGAGGUUGACAGUUCAAGCCUGUCCGGGGAAG